rfam:Phanerochaete carnosa HHB-10118-sp unplaced genomic scaffold PHACAscaffold_9, whole genome shotgun sequence.
GGCGCUAUAGCCAAGUGGUUAAGGCGAUUGAUUAGAAAUCAAUUCCCGUUUCGGGGCGCAGGUUCGAAUCCUGCUGGCGUCG